rnacentral:rRNA from 1 species
AUACGUAGGGAGCGAGCGUUGUCCGGAAUUACUGGGUGUAAAGGGAGCGUAGGCGGGAUGGCAAGUCAGAUGUGAAAUACAUGGGCUCAACCCAUGGGCUGCAUUUGAAACUGCAUUUCUUGAGUGAAGUAGAGGUAAGCGGAAUUCCUGGUGUAGCGGUGAAAUGCGUAGAUAUCAGGAGGAACACCGGUGGCGAAGGCGGCUUACUGGGCUUUUACUGACGCUGAGGCUCGAAAGCGUGGGGAGCAAACAGGAUUAGAUACCCUGGUAGUCCACGCUGUAAACGAUGAUUACUAGGUGUGGGGGGACUGACCCCUUCCGUGCCGCAGUUAACACAAUAAGUAAUCCACCUGGGGAGUACGGCCGCAAGGUUGAAACUCAAAUGAAUUGACGGGG